rnacentral:rRNA from 1 species
ACGGAAGUCGUUGUAAUGAAAUGGAAAUGGACAGAGAACUUGUUCGAAGAAAGUUGAAGUAGACUUACAACAAUGGCUUUAGUGGCGGACUGGUGAGUAACGCGUAAGGAGCCUGCCUUUUAGAGGGGAAUAACAAUGAGAAAUCAUUGCUAAUACCGCAUAUGCCGAGAGAAUCACAUGGUACAAUCGGGAAAGGAGCAAUCCGCUAAAAGAUGGCCUUGCGUCUGAUUAGAUAGUUGGUGGGGUAACGGCCUACCAAGUCGACGAUCAGUAGCCGGACUGAGAGGUUGAACGGCCACAUUGGGACUGAGAUACGGCCCAGACUCCUACGGGAGGCAGCAGUCGGGAAUAUUGCGCAAUGGAGGAAACUCUGACGCAGUGACGCCGCGUAUAGGAAGAAGGUUUUCGGAUUGUAAACUAUUGUCGUUAGGGAAGAGAAAGGACAGUACCUAAGGAGGAAGCUCCGGCUAACUACGUGCCAGCAGCCGCGGUAAUACGUAGGGAGCGAGCGUUAUCCGGAAUUAUUGGGUGUAAAGGGUGCGUAGACGGGAAGAUAAGUUAGUUGUGAAAUCCCUCGGCUUAACUGAGGAACUGCAACUAAAACUGUUUUUCUUGAGUGCAGGAGAGGUAAGUGGAAUUCCUAGUGUAGCGGUGAAAUGCGUAGAUAUUAGGAGGAACACCAGU